rnacentral:rRNA from 1 species
AGCUCCAAUAGCGUAUAUUAAAGUUGUUGCGGUUAAAAAGCUCGUAGUUGGAUCUCGGCAGCCAGGGGGCGGUUCGCUCCAAAGCGUGACUGCCCCAUUUGGCUGUGUGAUUGGCGGAGGUUCCGGGGUGCUCUUCGUUGAGUGUCCCGGUGCGCCGUCAGGUUUACUUUGAAAAAAUUAGAGUGCUCAAAGCAGGCUUUUCAGGCUUGAAUAUUCGUGCAUGGAAUAAUGGAAUAGGAACUCGUUCCUAUUUUGUUGGUUUUCGGGAAUCGAGUUAAUGAUUAAUAGGGAUAGUUGGGGGCAUUAAUAUUUAAUUGUCAGAGGUGAAAUUCUUUGAUUUAUGAAAGAUUAACUUCUGCGAAAGCAUUUGCCAAGGAUGUUUUCA